rnacentral:tRNA from 1 species
GGGCCAUUAGCUCAACUGGUAGAGCAUAUGACUCUUAAUCAUCAGGUUUGGGGUUCGAGUCCCCGAUGGCCCACCA